CUGCUUCCUCUGCUCGGCUCUGCCCAGCACCCGACGCACCAGCACCACCGCCACCUGCAGCAGCACCCGCACCCCUGCACACGAGAGAGGAGAGGGUGUACCAUAGCAGAAAAAGAGGUCCCAGACUCGGAGCAGUGUGUUGAAGGGCAGGUGACGUGUGAAGAGACACAUCAGCCAGUCGGUGGCAAACAUGAGGGGCUCCACUCCGUGGUGCUGCAGGUGUUUGUGUGCAGCCGGACACGUCCUUUUCAAGACCCAGGUCAGCAUGGCCGCAUCAAACAGGACUCCUUCCUACAGAGGUACACAGGCUUAGACAGGGCAGGCAAACAGAGAUCCCAGUAAUAAUUUGUUUUAUGGGUUUGUAACCUGGUACUAAUUACAGGGAAUAUAGGCUUUUCCUCGAAAGAACAGAUCCUAAAUUGGGGUUCAUUUAUAGCACACAUGAACAAGAAUCAGCUUUCAAAUUCAAUUUACUGGCCUACAUGUAAAUAAUCAGUGUAUAAUACAAAUAAGUGCAGUGUCAGGUACAUUAUGUAUGCAUGUGUAUAUGGGUGCAGGGGCUCACCAGCAGAGGGCUAUAGUAUCCAGGCAGGUACUGCUCACUAAUCUGCACCAGACACCAGAAGGCCUCCUGCCAAGGUUACAUGAGGUGAGAUGUCACAUAAAAUGAUAAUAAGUCAACAUCAGAUGCCACAAUAGCUGCUUUAUGUUCUGGACAAUUAUAAGUAUACGGAAUGUUGUCAGUUAUUAUUGUGUGUUUAUGGAACAGAAUGCCAAAAAGCCAAUAUUUUAACAGAUAGAUGAAACGAGAAUUAGUACAGAUUUAAUAUCUGAAAUGGGCUUUUGUUGUCCACUGAAAUCUAGAUUAAUAACAUGUUUUUGAGAUGCAUUUGCAGCUAUUGAUCGCUACCUCAGCAGGCAUGUUCAUCAGCAGCACUGCAGCCACGGGCCCCUGUGCCUGGCAGUAACCUUCUUCUGGUUGGUACUGAGUGUAGGCUUUCAACACCCGGAACAAACCACGCUGCCUGCACACAAACACACCGCAGGAAUCACUCACACAAACCAUAAGUUUAAAUCACAUGAGUAUGUUUAAAUAAACAAAUCACCUUUGAAUAGAGAGGUGAAAUUUACUAAGUAAAAUGUAGGCAAGUCAACAUCACUAAUAAUAACUAGUAAUAAGAUUUAUUUUGCAACAGAAAGACACAAAGAAAGCAGGACUGUGAAGAUAGAGUGAUAGCAGCUGAGGCAUAUUGAAGACUAGAGAAACUGUAGGACUGUUCUGUAGCUACUGGCUUGUCAACAGAAACAAAUAGAAGGAGAAAUGUUUCUUACCCAUGUCCAUCCUUGGAAAGGAACAUUUCAUGGAAAGGGAACUGUCGGUCCAGGUCUCUCUCGAUCACAUCCACCCAGCUCUGCAGAGCGGGCUGCGAGUCCAGAGACUAACACAGAGACAAAGGAUAGUUUGACCUUUUACAAACACUGUACUACUUUAAGAUUAUUCACAAAAACAAUGGACGUCCAUUAUUUUGUGUAAGUUGUAGUACAGUAAGCGAGCAGUAAAAUAGUGCACAUACUGCACUGUGAUGAGCCUAAUUUACACUUAAUGCUGCAACUAAUAACUAUUUAAACUGAUGUGUUGUUUAGUCUGUAGAAAGUUUAUAGAAGAUGUAUACAAAAAAUCAGAAAAUAGCGUGUCACAAAAUAGUGACUUGCUUGAUCACAAGAUCCCACAAAAUAAUGUGAGCAAACAGUCCAAAACCCCAACAUUUUCUGUUUACAAUGAUAUCAAACAAACAAUAGCAACUUAAAGAAGUUGUGAAUUUGUUUUUCUGUCAAUCGACUAAUCAAUUGGCCAUCACAAGUUCACAGAGCCUGAUGUGUUAUUGUGCUAAAAUGGCUUGUUUUGUCAUUACAUAGAUAUUCAAUUUACAGUGAUAUAAAACUGAGAAAUGCAGAAAGUCUUCACAUUGAACUUGCUGGAACCAGAAAAUGUUUUGUCAUAAUUGCUUGAUAAAUUACUUUGUACAUAAACAAUUAAUUGAUUGUCAGAAUUGUAGAUUUUCUGUCAAUCAAUCAAUCAAUAAAUCAGCACUAGUUUCACUGCAUCCUCUACACAGUGAUUUAGAUGAUGACAAUACAUUGUUGAAUCCUACCAUCCGUGGUUUUUGCUGCUGAUUUGAAAGCAUUUACCAAAGUGAGUGUUUAGUUUUCUUGCCUUGUAGAGGUUUUCAUUUUGUUUCAUCUCGUCAGUAGCACCACACAGCAGAGGCCAGCACUUUGCUCUGAGUGAGGCUGGGAUGCCUUUCUGACACUGCACUUUGACCUGAAGGGACGUUGGUAACAGAGACACAGGAUCAGCUCAAUGCAGGCAGAAACAAAUGACUACAUUUCAUUGUUGUCAGUAUGAAUGCUAACGUGCCUUUUUCACAGCAGACAUUUUGACUCAUAACAAAAAGCAUAGGCAUUUUUAAUAACAUUAACAAUGGCUCUGGUCUGUUCAAGUGUCCCGGUAAGUCAUGACAGUGUGAACGUGAGCCAGCAUGCACAAUACUAGGACCCUGAAACUAAAGCAGCUAAACGUAAUUUAGCCAUCAUUUAUUUUAUUAUUUACUGUG